GGCGGAGCCAGGCAGAAUGGGAGGCGGGGCCAGGCAGAGAGGGAGGCGGAGCCAGGAUGCUGAAGAUCAACUGGUGUCUCACCAAUUGUUCAUCCUUGCAUACAGGUACAGCAGUAAUAUUCAACAGCCGAAGAGACAGAACCGAACCUUGUUCACAGCCCCUUUUCUGAGGAAGAUGUACAGGAACAAGUCAGCAACAGGAUUAAGUUCACUGAAAAAAAAAGCAAAAAAGUAUACCUUAUAAUUUUGAGGUUUGACCAGGCAACAUAUGAUCACGAACACUGAUGGAGGCAGACAAAGUUCUAAGGGUCCCAACCAGGAAGAACAUGAGCAGAGGAAGAGGGAGGAGGAGGAAGAUGCCAGAAAUUUUAAGGUUCAAACACACACUUAAUACCCAGGAAAUGUAAGACGUCGUCCUGCAAAGCAAACAGAGCGGACCGACUGAAGCCGGAACAGGAUCAGCGGCUCAGACCCCACGUGGAGCUGCUGACUGACCAACACCUGAUGGUUCACGUCAAGGCCCCUGAUGAACCAAGAUAC